GGCAUCUGGAAGACUGCUCCCCACAGCAAGAAGUGGUGGCUCUUCUGUACGGUGGAGAAAGAAGGGGAACCCCACCAGGGCUAUGGAGAGACAGUAGAGGCAGGACUGAACCGUCAGCAAAGAUUAAAAGGAUGACCAGAGGCUGGCAACCACAAAACCAAGAAGCCAGCAGGGGCUGCCCCUUCCAAGUCUCACCAACGACCCAGAGCAGGUUCCAGAGCCUAAAGGCCCAAUAGUACAAUCCCCAAAAGCCAAGGUCUGGGAGCCAUCAAGGAGCUCCCAGGGAUCCGGCAACGCUCAGAGGGCAAGGGUGUCUUUGAUGAGCCUGCGCAUGGUGGUGGUGACUGAGGUGCCCAGGGCAUCGGUGAUCUGGAAGGAGAUCUUGUAGAGGUAGGGCUGCACGUCCCGCAAGCCUGUGUCAAACACGUUAUCCACCUCCGACUGUGUGGGCAUCUUGGGCAAGUACUCAUGCCGAUUCAUCACCUCCACGAUGUUGAUGAUCUUCUCGCAGAGUUUCUCGCCUACCUUCUCCCGGCAGAUCUGCCGCUCCUGCUCCGUGGCCAGGGCUACCACAUGCACCUUGACCGUCCACACUUCCCAUGGGAUGCACUCGUCUGAGAAAGGCCAGCGAGACUUCUUCUUCUGGU
rnacentral:antisense_RNA from 1 species